rnacentral:rRNA from 1 species
UUAUUCGAUAGAGUUGAUCCUGGCUAGAAGAGUCGAUAGGCGGGCCUAACACAUGCAGUCGCACGAGAAAGAACCAAAAUUGCAGGGGCGAGUAAAGUGGCGCACGGGUGAGUAACGCGUGGUUAAUCUACCCUUGGGUUUGGGAUACUUCCCGAAAGGGGCGCUAAUACCGGAUAAGACCACGGUGUCCACGGGCACUGGGGUAAAAGUGGGCCUCUACAUGUAAGCUCAUGCCUGAGGAUGAGACCGCGUCCCAUUAGCUUGUUGGUGAGGUAACGGCUCACCAAGGCCGCGAUGGGUAGCUGAUCUGAGAGGAUGAUCAGCCACACUGGGACUGGAACACGGACCAGACUCCUACGGGAGGCAGCAGUGAUGAAUCUUGCUCAAUGGGGGAAACCCUGACGCAGUCACGCCGCGUGGUUGAAGAAGGCCUUCGGGUUGUAAGCCCUGUCAGGUGGAAGAACCGCAUCUGGCAAUACCUGAACUGCUUGACGUUACCACCAAUUGAAGCACCGGCUAACCCGUGCCACAACCGCGUUAAAACACGACUGCAUGCUUUUUCCACUUACUGGCCUUAAUGAGUUUGCUUCCASCUGAAAGAUAUAAGACAUGUUCCUCGUUUA